AAUCGAACACUUGAACCUCGCAAUUUGCAAAGGUCCAGUGUGCUACACCCGUCCUAAUAGCAUUACAGGUCAACUCUAUGGGCUAGUAAUGAAAAAUAAAAUUGAAUUGCUUUGGAAUGAAAAAUGGAAUGACGAGUCAUCCGAAAAUAUUUGGUUCAUUAUUGGAAUGGCAAUCAGGUUCGAAAUUUAGAAUUUUUGAGAGAGGAUUUUGAUUACGAGAGAGGAAAGUGAUGAAGGGAGAUGAAGUAGGUGUUAGUGAAAGAGAAUUUUGAAUAGUUUACUUUGGAAUGGGCCAAUCCGAAAUUCAAAGCCAGAUUGGGUCAUAAAUAGAUUUGGCAAUUUCCAUUCCGGAGUGGAAUAGGAACUAGAAUCUGAUUCCUAUAAAACAAACGACAAAAAUCGGAAUCAAUGAAUUCCAUUCCGAUUCCAUAGUCUAAAAUAGGUGAACCAAACAAGCCCUAUAUAUAGUAUAGGACAACUCAACUCUAUAUACAUUGUAGGAUUGAAAUAAUAGUGGUUCCUAAAAUUUAGUGAUGGUCCCCGUAAGAUUGAGUGUUGGUUGAACAGUAUGAUCUAAAUAGUGAAAUUGAUUAAAGUGUAAAUCUAACGGAGCCGAGCACUAGGCAAAUAAUAUCAGCCGUUGAUUUUGAGACCCUUCAUUUACUAGGCAAAUAAUAUCAAAAAAUCGCAUAAUUUAUUUUCUAGGUACUUCAAAUACUCUAGAUCAAGUUUAACGGAGCCGAUCAACGAUUCGAAAGUUGCAACAUGAAAAAUGAUCUGGAAGCACCAGAAGCAUAGUAGCCUCACUCAUAAUAAUUAUAGUGUACACUUUGAA
rnacentral:lncRNA from 1 species